GCUCACUUCGGCAGCACAUAUACUAAAAUUGUAAUGAUGCAAAGAAGAUUAGCAUGGUCUCUGCAGGAGGAUGACAUGCAAAUUCGUGAAGUGUUCUAUGUUUUU
rfam:Gorilla gorilla gorilla genomic chromosome, chr4, whole genome shotgun sequence